GCAACAACUCUCUGAACAGAGAAGCGACCACUUACUGGAAGCUUCCUUUAUGAUUGAAGAUGGUGGUGAGCACUUUUGUGUAUUUCCUGUCUGCAGAAUCCUUCUUAUCUGAUAGUAAAAGUUGUCUUUUCUUGUGCUGAAGAAAUUGAUUGCUUCUGCCACAUUUAAAAGAGCAGCGAUGACAAUUUUGGUUUAAAGAAUGUGACUUAGAUAUUCUGCCAUCAGUGAGGACGCCUGGCUUGGCUAUAACCGAUAGAAUGGGGUGGAAGGAGGCUGUGUGAUUUC